UCUCGCUCUGUCCCGCUGCCUGGAGUGCAGUGGCGCGAUCUCGGCUCACUGCAAGCUCCGCCUCCCAGGUUCGCGCCAUUCUCCUGCCUCAGCCUCCCGAGUAGCUGGGACUAUAGGCGCCCUCUACCGCGCCCAGCUAAUGUUUUUUUGUUUUUGUAUUUUUAGUAGAGACGGGGUUUCACCGUGUUAGCCAGGAUGGUCUCGAUCUCCUGACCUCGUGAUCCGCCCGCCUCGGCCUCCCAAAGUGCUGGGAUUACAGGAGUGAGCCACCGCGCCCGGCCACGUAGUUUGACUUCUAAGAGCACUACAGCUCUGCUGAAGAUGUGGUUUGUCAGCUGACUGAUUAUUCUCUGCUGUUCUGGAUAGUCUUCUAUGUACAAAACUAGAGAUGAGUGGACUUUUCGUGUGCUGUGUGGUGGAUGUGACUCAGGUCAUAGCCACUGCUCUGAAAAGUGAUGGAGUCAGGGAGCCAUCAUCCAGCCUCACCUCCUGGGUUGUCAACCUACAUUUUUGGAGCCAGCUCAUUCUUUGAGGUUUCUCUAAGUCCCCAUGAGCUGCUAUUCAUGUUGACCAACAGUCUUAAGCAGAAAGAAAUAGCUUCUGGAAAAAUAACUAUAAUAUUGGCACAUUUCAGCAUCUCAAAGCAGAUUUUUGCAAGACGGUAAAUGACAACACAAGAUAUUUCAAUAAAAUGCCUACAUGUUGAAAGACCCUCCAACGGAAAAUAUACCAAGAGCAGAGCUACCUGAAAUAUAAUCUUAUUUCAUUGACAUACACUCCCUGGGAGAAAGUAAAGUCCAAAUUUUAUGUUUCUUGAAAUUAGACUUAAGCAUUAUAUCACAAUAUUUUUUCACCUUUAGAAUUAGAAAUCCAAAGAAAAGUCCUCCCUCCCACCUUAUUUUCUGUCAGUCUCAGCUGGAGGUAUGCUUGGGGUUUGGACAGUUUCAAGAAUUUUUAAUAACUGCAGAACCACCUGUCUCUUGCACUAAAA
rnacentral:lncRNA from 1 species